rnacentral:rRNA from 1 species
GAGUUUGAUCGUGGCUCAGAUUGAACGCUGGCGGCAGGCCUAACACAUGCAAGUCGAGCGGAUGAAGGGAGCUUGCUCCUGGAUUCAGCGGCGGACGGGUGAGUAAUGCCUAGGAAUCUGCCUGGUAGUGGGGGAUAACGUCCGGAAACGGGCGCUAAUACCGCAUACGUCCUGAGGGAGAAAGUGGGGGAUCUUCGGACCUCACGCUAUCAGAUGAGCCUAGGUCGGAUUAGCUAGUUGGUGGGGUAAAGGCCUACCAAGGCGACGAUCCGUAACUGGUCUGAGAGGAUGAUCAGUCACACUGGAACUGAGACACGGUCCAGACUCCUACGGGAGGCAGCAGUGGGGAAUAUUGGACAAUGGGCGAAAGCCUGAUCCAGCCAUGCCGCGUGUGUGAAGAAGGUCUUCGGAUUGUAAAGUCACUUUAAGUUGGGAGGAAGGGCAGUAGUUAAUACCUUGCUGUUUGACGUUA